rnacentral:rRNA from 1 species
AAGUCGUAACAAGGUUUCCGUAGGUGAACCUGCGGAAGGAUCAUUAACACGUAUCCAACGUUAAAACCCCCCGUGAACCUUCAGAGUACUUACACAUCGCGUUGAACCCCCAGCAAUCUCUGGUAAAUCAAGCCCCGAAAAUUUUCGAUUCAGAGACUUCUGGUAGCGGUGUGAGACGAGGCUAACUUGUGACCCGGCAUUCCUCUACUCUGUUGGUGUCUGACAGUGUCACCAGCUCUGUACGGAUGGCGCUGUAACGUUCGCUAGAGGCCGACACGGCCGGCGACCGGGUUUCUGGGUGUUACUGAAUCAUCAGCACCCCCUAGUUCACCUUUGCAUGAAAACGGGCCUGCGCUUAAUUGUGCGGCCACCAAACUCGAACAACUGUUAACAAUGGAUAUCUUGGUUCUCGCAACGAUGAAGAACGCAGCGAAAUGCGAUACGUAAUGCGAAUUGCAGAAUUCAGUGAAUCAUCGAAUCUUUGAACGCAAAUUGCGCUCUCGGGUUACCCCCAAGAGCACACCUCUCUGAGUGUCGGUUUAACCUUAUGUCACCAAUUUAUUGGUGUACGACAGUCUGAGGGUAAGGGGCCUCGGCUUCUUUCCCUUUAAAACUCAGCCGCACGACUGUGUGUGUUCGUGGCAAGUUGCUUUCACUUAACUGUGAAUACAAUCCACAAACCCUAUGUCGAGUAGCAAAAGAAACAAAUGAAACAAGGAUGUGAACUGAAGAGUGUUGGAUCUAUUGUGGAUGGGAUGAGUGAGUGGAAUGAGUGGGUUGGAGGGAGCAUGGACUGAGUUGUUGUGAAAGUGUUCAACUUGGAUGUUUCUUUUGGCACAAUUGUUCCGUUUGUUUGACCUGUCUGUGGUGGAUUCAGUGCUUUUGAGGGAACGGCUUUGUGUCAUCUAUGAAUUAGACNUCAGAUGAAGUGGGAAUACCCCCUGAAUUUA